rnacentral:rRNA from 13 species
AGCAUAGUGAUCCGGUGGUUCCGCAUGGAAGGGCCAUCGCUCAAAGGAUAAAAGGUACUCCGGGGAUAACAGGCUGAUACCGCCCAAGAGUUCACAUCGACGGCGGUGUUUGGCACCUCGAUGUCGGCUCAUCACAUCCUGGGGCUGAAGCCGGUCCCAAGGGUAUGGCUGUUCGCCAUUUAAAGUGGUACGCGAGCUGGGUUUAGAACGUCGUGAGACAGUUCGGUCUCUAUCUGCUGUGGGCGUUAGAAAUUUGCGUGGAUCUGACUCUAGUACGAGAGGACCGAGUUGGACUGACCUCUAGUGUAUCUGUUGUUCCGCCAGGAGCAUAGCAGAGUAGCUACGU